ACAAUAUAGGAUUGUAUCAAUGUAGCCUAAUUCUAGCUGUAAAUUUAGACCAGCAUCAUUCCCCAGUACUGGUUCAUUGUGUGUAGUAAUAUCAAAGGAUGGUUCAGUACAUGUAACAGGAACAUUGUUACAAUUAUAAAGACUAACACAUUCAAAUACAAUAUACCUCAACCAGUUAUAUGAAGAAGACGAAACAUGUAGACACGUGAUACUAACCUCUUCAUAUCUAUUACCAUCCCUCAUACCAAUAAUACUCACAUUAUUCCUCAGUAGCUGUUGCUCUAGUAGACUAGUAGUGUCUAGUGUAUAUGUACCAGGAGACAGGUUGAUAAGGAUACCUGAUGAACAGUUGUAUUGUAGAGUAGCAGUUCCUUGUAUAGCUAGAUCAAUAGUAGCACAAGGUGUUUGAACUCCUCCAGUCCAACAAGAGAUCCUACACUCCAAACCAGCAGCAGAAUAUACUAGAACAAGAGAAAGAAGAGAGACAAGAACCACUCCAGGAGACAUCAUUGAUUCAGGGCCAA